GUGGAAGGCUGGAUGGCCGCGGCAGACUGGAUCUGUCGAGGAAAGUCCGGACUCCAAAAAGCAACGGUGCCGGGUAACGCCCGGGCGGGGCAACCCGACGGAAAGCGCCACAGAAAAUAUACCGCCCCGCAGGUUGGGGUCCGGUCGAACCGGUGGGGUAAAAGCCCACCGCGCCUCUGGCAACAGCGGCGGCAUGGCAAGCCCCACCGGGAGCAAUGCCAAAUAGGGAUCCCGCCAUUGGGCGCGCUUUUCGCUCAGGGAUCCGGGUUGGCAGCUAAAGCGCGGGUGGCAACACCCCGCCCAGAGGAAUGGUCAUCACCCUUCGGGGAACAGAAUCCGGCUUACAGGCCUUCCGCGCAU
rnacentral:RNase_P_RNA from 1 species